GCAGUCGUGCGAGAAGUCUUUUGCUUGCAUUAGACGGAAAGCGGCGAAAGGGAGAGUAACGCGUGGAUACCUACCUCUGGGUUCGGGAUAGCUGCGGGAAACUGCAGGUAAUACCGAAUAACAUCUCCGGAUCAAAGGUGUGAUUCCGCCUGGAGACGGAUCCGCGUCCUAUUAGCUUGUUGGUGGGGUAACGGCCUACCAAGGCGACGAUGGGUACCGGGCGUGAGAGCGUGACCCGGCUCACUGGGACUGAGACACUGCCCAGACACCUACGGGUGGCUGCAGUCGAGAAUCUUCGGCAAUGGACGAAAGUCUGACCGAGCGACGCCGCGUGCGGGAUGAAGGCCUUCGGGUUGUAAACCGCUGUCAGUUGGGAGGAAAUCACAUGGGGUCAUCCCCAUGUGUUGACCUAUCUUCAGAGGAAGGACGGGCUAAGUUCGUGCCAGCAGCCGCGGUAAGACGAACCGUCCAAACGUUAUUCGGAAUCACUGGGCUUAAAGGGUGCGUAGGCGGCCCUGUAAGUUGGGUGUGAAAUCCCUCGGCUCAACCGAGGAAUUGCGCCCAAUACUGCAGGGCUAGAGGGAGACAGAGGUGAGCGGAACUUGUGGUGGAGCGGUGAAAUGCGUUGAUAUCACAAGGAACACCUGUGGCGAAAGCGGCUCACUGGGUCUUUUCUGACGCUGAGGCACGAAAGCUGGGGGAGCGAACGGGAUUAGAUACCCCGGUAGUCCCAGCUGUAAACGAUGAGCACUAGACCGGAGAACCCUCCAUAGUUUUCCGGUCGUAGCGAAAGUGUUAAGUGCUCCGCCUGGGGAGUAUGGUCGCAAGGCUGAAACUCAAAAGGAAUUGACGGGGG
rnacentral:rRNA from 1 species